rnacentral:rRNA from 1 species
CCUACGGGAGGCAGCAGUGGGGAAUAUUGCACAAUGGGCGAAAGCCUGAUGCAGCAACGCCGCGUGAAGGAAGAUGGUUUUCGGAUGGUAAACUUCUGUUCUUAGUGAAGAAUAAUGACGGUAACUAAGGAGCAAGCCACGGCUAACUACGUGCCAGCAGCCGCGGUAAUACGUAGGUGGGAGGCGUUGUCCGGAAUUACUGGGUGUAAAGGGAGCGUAGGCGGGAAGCCAAGUCAGCUGUGAAAACUACGGGCUUAACCUGUAGACUGCAGUUGAAAGUGGCGUUCUUGAGUGAAGUAGAGGUGGGCGGAAUUUCGGGUGUAGCGGUGAAAUGCGUAGAUAUUCGGAGGAACACCGGUGGCGAAGGCGGCCAACUGAGCUGUAACUGACGCUGAGGCUCGAAAGUGUGGGGAGCAAACAGGAUUAGAUACCCGAGUAGUC